CCCGAAAUGACCCGGAGAAGCCGUAGGGAGGUCCGGGGAGAGUUGUCUCUUCUCUAUAAGCGUUCGAGUUCCCUGGAAGCCUCUAGGAGGGAGAUAGGGUUUGGAACGCGAAGAGCACCGCACUUACGGCGGUGUCCGGAUCUUCCCCUCGGACCUUGAAAAUCCGGGCGAGGGCCACGAGGAACACCGCGCCGGCUCGUACCCAUAUCCGCAGCAGGUCUCCAAGGUGAAUAGCCUCUAGUCGAUAGAAUAAUGUAGGUAAGGGAAGUCGGCAAACCCGAUCUGUAACUUCGGGAUAAGGAUUGGCUCUGAGGAUCGUGGCGCGCCGGGCUUGGUCGGGAAGUGGAGCGGUGCCAACGUGCCGGGCCUGGGCGAGGUGAAGGGCGCUCGUCGUCCGGACCCUAGCUCGGUCCCGUGCCUUGGCCACCCACGGACCUUCCUUGCUGCGAGCCUCCCGGCUGUCUAGUUACCGGCUCAGCCGGUGGACGGGCCGGAAGGCUCUUCGGCCGCCAUAGAGCGAUCAACUUAGAAC
rnacentral:rRNA from 1 species